rnacentral:rRNA from 1 species
CAAUAGCGUAUAUUUAAGUUGUUGCAGUUAAAAAGCUCGUAGUUGGAUUUCGGAUGGGACUUGCCGGUCCGUCGUUUCGAUGUGCACUGGCCAGUCCUAUCUUGUUGUCGGGGACUAGCUCCUGGGCUUCACUGUCCGGGACUAGGAGCUGACGAGGUUACUUUGAGUAAAUUAGAGUGUUCAAAGCAAGCCUACGCUCUGAAUACAUUAGCAUGGAAUAACACGAUAGGACUCUGGCUUAUCUUGUUGGUCUGUGAGACCAGAGUAAUGAUUAAGAGGGACAGUCGGGGGCAUUCGUAUUUCAUUGUCAGAGGUGAAAUUCUUGGAUUUAUGAAAGACGAACUCCUGCGAAAGCAUUUGUCAAGGAUGUUUUCAUUA